AUCAAAAACACGUUUCCCUAAAUUCGAAUAAUCUUCAUCACUUUGGUAAACAGUUUCAGCGAAGUAAAGGUUCACAGUGUAAUUUCCUUUAAAUAAACAGAAGCCGUAAUAUGUCAGAGAAAGAGGGCAGAGGCGACUUGUAUUGUAUAACUGUGUCCCAUUAAAAUCACAAACUUCACAUUCCAUGUUUUUUAUGUAAUCACUGGAAUCGUAAGUUUUGAAUCCGAAGUCUCCAGAACAAGAAUAAGCCCAAUUUCCCUUUGGAGCUGAAUAAUAAUUUGAUGUUGCACUAUCUGCUUCAAACUCUUUCCCAUAAAAAACUGUGCCUCCUCCUCCACAAUUUAUAUAUAAGGUAUCGUCUGCAAAAAAUGAUAAUCAGUACAGAAAAUCUGUCCAGCGCUAAAUUCAACAGAUAAUUUUCAGAAGAGUGUCGCAUUGCACAUGUCAUUUCCAAACCUAAGAUUAAACCCAUAAAUAGUUUAAAUGAACGACUCAGGAGUGUAAAUAUACUAUCCAAUAUGAGCUUCUCAAUAGAACUUACACUUUGGUUUUCCCCGACAUUUAUUUUUCAGCUGUGGUAUAGAAUUCCUAGAAAUAGCAAACAACAUUUGUAAGAAAUAGCUCAGGAUCAUUUGUUCUAAAUUAAUUGCACCAUAUGGAGGAUAUUACCAUACCUGUUUGGUUCACUGCUUGAGUAGGAACAACAUGCAAGCAGUUGGUGCACAUGAUACAAAAUGAUCAGAAAUUGGAAUUUCAUAGACACCAAUAUUCUUGCCAGUGAAAAAAAAGGAAGAAGAAAAUGAAGUUGCCGUCAUUACAUUUUCAGCUUUCCUUCUCCUUUCUUCGGAUCAUCACGUGGAAUUUUAAAAUUAUUAUAUGACAAGUUCCUGCAACAUUAUUGUUUACAUAUCAAGAUUUUAUUGAGGAAAUCUACAAAAGGGAAAACAACCCAUCUGAGCAAAGAGCACAAAGCCAUAACAUACGCCUUGUCCUCAAUGUUACGAGGAACCCAGGAAGGUACUGUGCCAUUAAGCAUAUUUCUUGUGAGAAACCUAAACAAAAUAAAUCAAUAUGAAAACCAUUAAGCAUGUUUCUUGUGAGAAGCCAGGGAGGUACUUUUUAAUAGAGUGGCAGAAAGAACUUAUAAUAAGACAUCGAGUUCAAGGAAUCUCUUUUGCAUACAUCUUCCUUAAAGUCUGUUUUUUCAUGGAAUCUGGUAUUCCACCCGUUAAAUUGUUAAAGCUCAAGUCUCUGCAGGAUCAAUAAAAUGAAAUCAAUCGUUAUCCUACAUAUAUAUUUGAUAUAUAGUUGUGCUAUGGUAAAUUAUUGCAUAGUUGAUUCUGUAAACAAAUAAUCAAAAUCAUCAACACUUCCUAUGCAUGGCCUAAAGGCCCUAAACAAAAUAGCAAUGACAGAACUACAAAUCUUUUACAAAAGAGGAAAUGAAACUUACAGGUAUUUUAACAAUGACCAAUUACCAAUGUACGGGGGGAUUUCACCACUUAUUGAGCAAUUCCUUAUCACCCUACACAAAUCAUUGAAGAAGUUGGUGUUUGGAUUUAUCCAAUGCAUCCAUAUCAUUAAGAGUCACGUACAUAAAUAUUGACAAAAAAAUAAAAAAAAUUUUAAAACACAACAUUGUGACUUCACGAUUCUGUUAUGCCUAUAGUCGUAAUUAAUAUAUAUAUAUUUAAAAAAAAUUCUCAAACCUUAAUCCCAUGUAAUAGCUCCUAAAAAAAACUCAAGAUCAAAUAAAGAAAAAUAGGCCUAAAAAAGUAUUUAUGUAAAAGACCGGUCAUAAUCCAAAUUCUACAACAAUAUUAACGCUCCUAGACAAAUAUUAUAAUUCUAAGUGUGUAUGGUUUUUAUUAUCUAAUGUGAAAUUAAUCUUUAUACCACAAUUUGAAUUCAUGCCAUAGCUCAUUGGCUUACUCCUCAUCCAUUGACCGAUUAGGUGGUAAGGAUGCAAAUUAAGUAUUUACAAGUAUCGGAGCUUCUUACAUCAAAUUAGGAAGUUUCAGGCGUUCUUCUUUUCUUUUCUUUUUUCCUUUUUAAUUACAAAUCUCAAGUUAGUUAUGCAUGUGAGCUUGUGCCCUUAGUGUGAGCUUUAAAGAAAAGCAAAGGAAGGAAAAACUCACAGGCAUCUUAUUUUCGUCAUAUUUGCAUUUUUUGGGAAAGGGAAACCGGAGCUAGUUACAUCACUAACAAACCUGGAAGAAAAACCAUCCAGAAUAAAAACAUACAUUUAUUUCAACCUGUGAAAAUUAUAGAACACUUACAAGUAUUCGAGAUUUGACAUGUUAAAAAGAAAAUCAAGAGGCAGAUUUGACAUGCUAAAAUCAUUUCCGGAGAGGGACCUGUGUUCAGUACACAAAAACACAAAUUAUUGAAUGAUAUUCUUCGAUCAUCGACAGUUUCUCAAUCAAAUAAUAUUACAGAAAGUACAAGUAAUUUCUUACAGGUAAUAGAGUCCAGUCCAAUUCUCAAUGAACCUUGGUACUUCACCGGUCAAACGGUUCCCAGCUACGGUACUGCAGCCAUAGUUAGUUGCUUUUCCUUGGAACAAUAAUUAAACAGAUUGUUGGUUGAAAGAAUAUGAUGAGUUGCACUUACAACCACUGCAUUUCCGUAAAGCUGGCAUAAUUUCCCGGCAGUGUUCCAUUCAAAUUGUUGGAGCUCAACACUCUACAACAACAAAUCAAAAGGAUUGUAAUACACCCUUGUUCUGUUUUAUUUCUCCUAUUACAAUCUUCCUUUGUUUUACAAGGUGGUAUGAUAUUAUUAUUCUUGUUUUUUAAACUUACAAAACAUUUAGAUAUCUCAAUCUUCCAAGUUCUGGUGGAAGCGGACCACUGAGUUCAUUGAAGCCCGAGUACCUAAUUAAAUAAAAGAUAAGAACCAAACAAAACUAAAUAAGUUAUAAGGAAAUUCAAGGAGAAUGAAAGAGCGAGCGAGCGAGUAUCAAUACAUCAAUUGGAGAUUAGAGAGGUUGCCCAAUUCUUUAGGGAUUUGACCUGAUAACAUAUUAUACGACAAACCCCUGAAAACACCCACAAAAAUAAGAGCACAAGAAUCAAUAAUUUAAAUAUUUAAUUCACAUUAUAUUAUACUAAAAGACUGUGAUUGGAUAAUACUUACAGAAGUUGAAGGGACGAUAAAUUCCCUACAGAUGGAGGUAUGGAGCCAUUGAGGAAGUUUUGGGUGAGAUCACUAUGCAUAUGUAAUAGAUAAAAUAAGAACCAAUAAUUUAAAUUUUAUGAAGACAGACUAAGAGCUGAAAUUAGUUAUUAAAAUAUGAUCCAAAAGCCAAGAAGCUCUUUGCUCAUAACCAUGCAGACAGCCAAACAAGGCUUUUAUCCUAAUUACAUGAGAGAAAAGAACCAAACAGAACUCAGAAGUUAAUUUUUGUGACCAUUAACAUUUACAAGUAUCGAGUCCCCAAACGGCUUGCCGUUAUUUUCAUUUCUAACAAAGCUAAUUUUACUUGAAAAUGUUUACCCAAAAACUCUAUUAAAAAAUCUUAACUACUACAACUACUAAUCUAUCAAUUGUCUAUUCAGUAACUUCUUCUUUAAUUUAAAGAAGGAAAUUUGAGUUCUUAACUCAAAUUUUCACCAUUAUAAUAAAAUUACAUAGUCCUAAACACUUUAUUCUCCGAAUGAAAAUGAGAUCUUAACUAUUAUUUAAUGGAAUAUAAUUUAAAAGAAGUAAUUUUAGAAAACAAAAAUGUUAGAUUUGUGUAUAUAUAUAUAUAUUCUGACAAUGCAUGCGGAGACUAUAAUUUCAUAGAACUCUUGAUAACAGAAGUUACAAAUUGUAUGCUCUUUUCUUACCAUUAUAUAUUAUUCUUUAAAAGAAUAGCAAUGGUAUAAAAUCAAACCCAAAUAUCCAAGAUGUUCUCCUAUAAUUCAUAUAAAAAUGGAUGUUCUUCGAUACCCAAGUCAAACUUUUUGUUAGUGUCAUUUUGUUUUUGUUUUUUUUAAAAAAAAAAAUUGAUGAUGGAUGGUUUGCUUUUAACUAUAUUAGAAAUAAUAAAUUUAGUUUUGAAGCAUGAAAUCUAAAUACUUGAUUAGGAAAAAAAUUAAAAUCUUUAGAAAUUAGACAUGGAAUGUUUAUGAAUAAAAGUCAAUAUUAAUAAAAUACAUAUAAACACCCACAAGAAUAAGAGCACAAAACUCGCAUCAGCAAUGGAAAAAGAAUUAAAUUGACACUGAAGAUGAUACUUACAACUAUAUGAUACUGAAGAAAUUGUGAUUGCAUGAUACUUACAAAUAUUGGAGGGACGACAAAUUCCCCAAAGAUGCAGGUAUGAAGCCACUGAAGCAGUUUCUCGAGAGAUCACUGUGCAUAUGUAUUACCAUAUAAGGUCAUUAUUACUCAAAUAAGAACCAAUAAUAUAAAUUUUAUAAUCCAAAAGCUGAGCAGCUCUUUGCUCACAGUAAAUUAAUGGAAAUAUAACAAAAGAUUACAAAUAUGAAAUAAUGAAUCAAUACAGAUUUCUUUACCAGCUCCCUUGUUUCUAGAGGGCACUUAUUUUUUUAUUUUUUUUACUUUUUCAAACACACAUCUAAAUUAUACUUGUAAUAUAUUUUUACUCUUAAAUGAAACAAUAGAAAAAAAAUUAUACUCAUAUUUAAUUUAACAUAUCUACAUAUAUUAAUAUUAAAGAUUAAAAUACUAUAACAUUAUUUGGGAUAAUUAAAUUAGAGAUGAAAAGAUAUAUAUAUAUAUAUAUAUAUAUAUAGUCGAAGCUAAAUAACUACAGCCCAAAGACCGAAUAUCCGAGGCAGAAGCUAAAUAUAUCAAUUAUAGGGAUUCUAAAUCAAGUUACAUAGAAAAUCUUAUUUUUGUUAAUUUUAUUUUAAAUAUUGUAGUAUAUUUAAAAUAAAGAAUAUUUUUGAACAAAUCACUGCAACAAAAUAAACUGCAGUAGUAAUAAAUGACUAUGGUACUUACAGAUGGUAGAGUGAAUGCAAGUUCCCCAUGGUGACAGGGAUGCUACCAGAAAGUUGAUUAUUGGACAAAUAACUGUUAUUAAUGUAAUAAGAUUGUUACCAAUUAGUUGAGCUCAGCAUACUGAUUCGAAUGAUUAUCAUCACAUGUCAUAUGAUACUCACAUUUCUUCUAGGUGAUCGAGACUAGUCAAGGCUGCAGCGUUGACUCGUCCUGUUAAUACCCUGCGUGAGAGAUCUCUGCCACCCAAAAAUGGCGUUAACAUAGAAACCUUACAAAAAUAAAAGAAAAUUGGAUGAAGUUGAUGAGGAACUUACAGGCUGGUGACGUGACAUACUGUUCUGCUCUCAUAAUUGCAAUUGCAUUUGAUGCCUCGAUAAUUAUUGUCACAAGACGAGUUUGAGAUUUGUUGAGAACCCCACCCUAACGUGGUCAUCAACUCAUCCAAAGCCUUCGCUGCCAAACAUUUUUCAACAAAGAAACACAUAUUUUGUUUAAUUAGCAAGAUUCAAACAGGUAGCAUACCUGAUACCUUCAUGAUCAAAACCAUAUAUUUUUAGCUUCCACAACCUCAAGCUACCUCUAGCUAGCUUCAAAUCCGAACUAAAAGGAGAAAAAAGAAAAAAAACUAGUGCUAAUUUAUUGUCAAUUGACUAUACAAAUCCAUCUAGAUUUCCUUACUAAAAUCCUCGUAAAAAUCAAUUCAUCCUUAACCAAUCACUUCACUUGAUAGUUAUAGGAAAAGAUGGAGAAGCAGAAAAUAUAUAAGAAAUGCAGUACGUAGGCUAGCAAGAUAAAACUAGAGCACUACGGAACUCUCUGCCAGGCUGUGGAAGCACUAGAGAGUGCAAAUGGAAGAGAGAAAUAGCAGUAUCUUGUGCAUAAGGCUUUUCGUUGUUUGGGUCACAAAGAUAAUUAAGACCCUUCCUUCCAGCUCAAGUGUUCUCUCUUCUUUCUCUUGUUAGCUUGGAUCAGUUUCGUGCAAACAUGAGUGAGUUUAUAGUCUAAGUACAGUUAAUUGAGUUUAUAUUCUUGAAAACAAAUUUUCUUCCUUCUUUUGUAUAUAGUUGGAAAAGGAUAUAUAUGUAGAUGGAAAAGUAUAUCGUGCGUGUGUACCUUCAUCGUCAGGCAACUUUGCUUCACAGGCUACAUAGCGAAAUUGACGAAGAAGAAGAAGAACGGCAAGAGAGGAAACAAGCUUAGGAAAGAGCUUAGCCAUUACUACUUUAGCUUGCAAUGCGCUUCCCAUAAGACAUGCAUUCUUUAUAUAGAUAUUGUUUUACCGUUCAAACUGUUAUUAACUCUGAGCCACUCACAUUACCAAAUUGUCCCUGUCCAAAUAUCAAAAUACCUGAGAAAAGUAACUUGCAAUAUUAUGCAUGGAGGCCUAACAAUUUUGGUUCAUGUAAAUUGCAAAAUGAUUCCAAAGCAGCAUUUUUUAAAUUGAUUAUAUCGUAGUCUUUAAAACGUUGUAAAAUUUGCAUAUUUGAAUUCAAUUCAAUGUCUGAGAUUUGAAUUCAUUCAUGCAUAAUUAAAGGGUAGUAAUUAUUCAAAUAUAUAAUAUAUAAUUAUGAGUUAUUAUGCAUUAUUAAUCCAACACUAUUUUUGUAUCUAUUAUCCUCUCCCGAGUAAUGUGAGCUUGUGUUUUAUGUCUUUUAUCUCACAAUUCAUAGAAAGAUAUCCAUCACUGAUCUAGUUGUGUGCCUCACAACUAACCACCUGUCAUGAUACAAUAAGCACGCACUUCUUCCACUUUGUUGCAUGCACACUUCAACUUUCAGUCUUUCAAGAUUCCACUUUAAAGCUUUAUUGGUCGUUACUUGGAGCGGAGCAAAUAAUUAAAUACUAUUAUCUUGCACUACGUAUCAAUGUCCACAAAUCAGAAAAACAAACUCAAACACUCUCUUUAAAUACUAAACCUAAGAUCUAUAAUGACUAAAUUAAGAAAAACGUACAUAACAAACAAAGCUAGAAAGAAGGUACUUUUACAUUGAUUUUUGAAACCGAAAAACUGAUGCAUAAUUAAUUCUACUGGUUACUAGAAAUAGUCCCGUUGCUUUGCCCUUAAUUACCUGCUAUAUAUAUAUAUAUAAAAGAACCUAACAUUUUUUCCUUAAAAAACAGAUGUUUUUUCAUUAAAAAUAAUUUAUUUAGGAAGUGAAAGGUUAUUGUUCAUAUUCUUCAUUCAUAAACUGGACAAAAAUAUAAUUCAUAAGAAUUACCACUUAAAAAUAAGCUGGACAAGAAUUUAAGAUCUCUAAACAUUUUAAAAAUUACUUUACAAUCCAUUUCACUUAGACUCACUCUUUCUCUGCACUCUCCCACACACUACACUACUACUCUUCUCACAUCCCUAGCUUUUAUACAAAAUUUGAAGUGGCAGGGCAAAUCUUUAGGCAUGUAAGUCUGCAUGUGGUGUCUAUUCUAGAAUUCUUUUUUUUUUUAAGUAGAUAUGUAUGCCGUUAUUGAUCUUCAACCUCAUGUUCACAAGAAUUCAAAGAGGAUCUCUAUUCAUAAGAAGAAGAAUGAUUUUUAAAUAAAUCUUUAACUGAUGACUCAACUUUUAAGUAGUAAAAUAAAAGAAUUAUCACUUAAAUCGGUAUGAGAAUUCUAUAUUAAGAAAUUAUUUGUGUAGCGUUAAUCCGAAGAAUAAUCAAACAUUAUUAAUUUUAAGAUGAAAGCUGUUAUUCUUAGAAUUUUGCAAAACAAGUAUGAUUAUGAUAAGUACUAUCAAGACGUUGUGGGCAAACUGCUCAAAACAGAAAGACAAAGGCAAAUGGAAAGUGAAAAGGAAAAGCGUCAGGACAGAAGAUGUUGGGAAAAAGAAGAAGAAGCAAGCUGUCAACACAUGCUUUGGGAAUCUCAAAUGUGUAUCACAUGAAGUUCUUAAUUCCAUGGAAGAUUUGUAGUGGUGACUAAAUGGUUAGAUAAUUACCCUCUCCAUUUUGUAUAUGUUCUUCACUGUCGCUUAAUUAUGAAUAGGCAGCAGGAAAAUGUAGCAGAUCAAGAUUGAAAACAGAAUCACACUGCCAACACUCAUGCCACUGCUUCUACAUGCAGUGCAAGAAUUACUCUUCGCGCGUGUAUCUGUCCAAGAAUUGCUCUCUGCCCGAGUGAAUAGAAAGAGGUAGUAGGAGCCAAUCUGAGAAAUGAAUGAUUCUUUCUGUCUGUCACGGGGUGCGAGCGCCAACGCAACGUUGUCUGACGACCGCGGAGGCUCUUGUCAUGCCUCCUAUGUGAAGUAUCGUGUGUUGGAAAAAAUUUUGAAUUUAAUUAUAAAAUUAUGAUUAAUGUUUAGGAGUCGUCACCUAGUAUUAUGGUCACUAGAAAUCUAUGAUCUGCGAGAAUUUGAGUAAAGGACUGGUUGUGCAAGGGAAAACGCAUCACCCUCAGUGCACCCUAUCUAAGAUAAACUGCAUUGUCAUUUGAUUGUUUUUUUUUUCUAAAUCGGGUUUCUAUUCGUUGGUCUUUUCUAAGGUUUAAGGCAGAUCUUUCUUCAUGAGAAAGUCUCUACCUUAUUGGGUAAAUCAUAGCCGUUCUAAAUUCUGAAUUUUAGCAUAUUUAUUUACACAUUGUAUCUUUAAUACCUGACGGUGUACUUUAUCGUCUAAUUUUACAUUCCUCAAAUAUUAAAAUCUACAUCUGAAUCCUAAAAAAAGAUUGGAAUUUUUUUUUUGACAUGUUGGUCAAAUUCUAAUGGAUAAUCAUAAACUGGUUACAAUAUUUAUUUUUGAUUUUUUUAAACAUGAAAAAAAUAUAAUUUAUUUUAUUUAAAAAAAAAUUAAUUUUUUUAAAAAUAAUUCAGAAUUGGAUUCUGACUAUGUCUAUAGGGGUCGGUCCUAAAGGCAAGAGCAGUUCCAGGUGAUGCAGUGGAUUAAGCCAUUGAUCGUGUAAACGACGGAAGUCAAGAAGGUUCCUCGAAGCCCGCCACUAAAGCUAUUAAUUCUUCUCUCUCCCGCCAAGGUCCCCUUUCGUGGAAUAGCAGAGACCACUACCAAUCAACCAGAAGAAAAUUCCAGUAGCUUUUGGAAAAUACAGAGUUCCUGCCCAUGAUCACAACCAUGUACGCAAGCCAAUCUUAAUUCCAAUAAAGCCCAUUUAAAUAGUAGAGUUUUCACAUAAUUUUACUAAGAUCUCUACUUUUAAUCCCUACCAUUUCUAAAUCAAAGAUGGAAUACAAAGAUCAGUCAUAUGCUGCGAAAAGAAAAGAAAAAAAAUCAAGAAAAGAGAGCUUGUCUCGAUAAUUAUAAUACAUACUUGUAUCACAGUGAGGUUUAGAAAACAAGCAUGGAUAUAUAUUAUCUCUUAAUUAGCCUCAGUUGAAAGCUUUUGCUUCUAAACUUGUGAAAGGUAGAGUUUCGGCAAAAGGAAAAAGGAAAGAUGAGGGAUGACAGGUGAAAGUGAGUGUUCAAAAAAAUUGAAAAGUGGAAGUGGGGAUAAUUUCGUCAAAUUUUCUUUAAAGAGUAAGAGACAAAUUUAAUUUAGACAAAGAGGUCAAGUAAAAGCAAAAUCUAUUUAUAUUUUUUAAUUUAUUUUUAUCUAACAACAAAGAGGUACUCAGCACUAAAGCAAGUCUAAUUAUAUUUAUCUAAUGGGUAGCUAAGUGUACUAAUUUUCUGGGCGAUUUAUACAUAAAGAUAGUAUGCUAAAAAAUGCUUACACCAUUAUUAAAACCAUCUUAUUUAAUGUACAAGCAUAUUAUGAAAAAUAUGCUAAAAUAAAGUGGGCGAUUUAUACAUAAAAGAUAACUAAUAAUUCAAUAACUUAAGUUCGAGCCAGAGAUGAUGUUCUAUCACGUGGUGGCAAAGCUCUGUCAAGCAAGCAUAUGAAGUGACUUGUAGAUCUCUAAGUAUAAGGCAUCUCUACAAUAUAAGACAAAAUUAGCAUAAUUCUCUUACAAUGGUCCCUUUUUUUCUUUUUAUCAUUUUACAUUGUUUUUACUGUAAAUUUAAAAGUUACUCAGAGGUGUUAUUGUAAUCUAAAUAUAUUAAAUAUUAUUAAAAAAAAACAUGAGACGCUAACAUAAAGAAAACCCUCGCACUAUUCGGGCAGCAUGAAAAGUGUCGUUCAAUUAUCAAAUGCUACCUUCUAUAAUGGUGUUUGAAAGGUCUCCUCGCCGCUCAAGAUGGGGUAGUGUUUGUAUCGAAAAUACCUUUGAUUUGAUACUAGGGACCAUUUGUUUUUUCUUUUUCUUUCUCCCCGCCCCUCGAGAUGGGGCAGCGUUUGUACCAAAAAUACCAUUGGUUCGAUACUAGGGAUCAUUUUUCUCUCUCUCUUUCCUUCUUGAAUUCAAGACGUUAAGGAAAGCAAAAUCCAAAGGCAAUUGAAAAGUGAAUGGAAAAGCGUCAGACAGAAGAUAGUGAAAAACAAAGAAAAAACAAGCCGUCAGCUCAUGCCUUUGGAAUCUCAAAUGUGUAUCACAUGAAGUUCUUAAUUCCAUUGAAGAUUUGUAGUGGUGACUAAAUGGUUAGAUAAUUACCCUCUCCAUUUUGUAUAUGUUCUUCACUACCGCUUAUUAAUAGGCAGCAGGAAAUUGUAACAAAACAAGAUUGAAAACAGAAUCACACUGUCAGCACUCAUGCCCAGCUAAUUAACGGCUCUGCUAAAUGAUUUGAUAUAUCAUAAAUUAAUGAUUGAACCCAUGGAAUCUGAACAUUGAGAAGUAAGUAAUAAUGCAUCUUUAAAAUUCAUGGUCAAGUCUUUGUUCAUGUAAUUCAGCAUCUUUUGUUUAUCUUUUGCAUUUAAUAAAGCUAAAGCACCAGUACGUAUGAAGAACAAAAGCUGAUAGCUUAUCCUUCAUUUCUUGGGUCCAAUCAGAAAGUGAAUAUAUAUUGAGAAGUAAUAAUGCACCUUUACAAGCAGAGAAAGAUUAAUAAAAGCUAAAGCAUCAAUAUGAAGGCCAAAAGUGUGAAGAUAGUUGGCCACUUGCUAACUUGGCCAACUUGGCCACUUGGCCAACUUGGCCACUUGCUCUUUCAUGGAUGCUUGCCUAUAAAUAGGCGAGCAUCCAAGCAUUACAAUCACACAAAAGAAGAGAGAAAGAAGAGAGAGUGAAGAGGGAAAUCCCACUAAAUUGUGAGGUAUUUGUGAGAGAGUAAGUGAGGUGUUUUCUCCUAGUAAUAGAGAGAUUCUUAGUUGUUCUCCUAUUAUCUGAGAGAGGUUGUAAUUCCCACAUUACUAGUAAAAUCCUUCUAUACUUGCCCGUGGACGUAGCCUAAUUGGGUGAACAACGUAAAUUCUUGUGUGUCUCAUUUUUCAUUUAUCUUGUCCCUUACCUUUUGUCUUGUCGAGUUUGCAUGCCAGUAUCCUAACAGUGGUAUCAGAGCCUUCUUGGUUGGUGUUGUUAACACACAAAAGUUAUUCGUGUAUACGGUUACUAUUCACGUCUACGGCACUAUUCAUCCAUACGGUACUGUUCACUAUUGUUGGCGUAUAUAGAAAGUCAGUGCGGUGAUUAAAUACAGUCUAGGAAGUUCUGUCUAAGGAGAUUGUGUUUUAAGCGGGACCGUUUGUGACCCCUCCAAUCUUUCCUGGGAACUUACUUAGUGAAGUAUUAUUCACACGAUACUAUUUCUAUAUACGUUACAGAUCUGUGAAACGGUGAUAGCUGAAUAGAUCUCGGUGAAUACAAUGGCAGCAAAGUACGAGAUUGAGAGGUUCAAGGGGAGCAAUUUCUCACUAUGGAAAAUGAGAAUCAAGGCAAUCUUGAGGAAAGACAAUUGCUUGGCAGCAAUUGGGGAUCGGCCCGCGGAGAUCACUGAUAAUGCAAAAUGGAAUGAGAUGGAUGGCAAUGCUAUUGCUAACAUACAUUUAGCAUUAGCUGAUGAAGUAUUAUCAAGUGUGGCGGAGAAGAAAACAGCUAAGGAGAUAUGGGAGACUCUAACAAAGCUAUACGAGUCCAAGUCUUUGCACAUAAGAUUUUCUUAAAGCGGAGACUUUAUACCCUUCGAAUGGCAGAAACCACGUCGGUGACUGACCACAUCAACACAAUAAGAACUCUAUUUUCACAACUCACUACGGUCAACAAAUAGAGGAAAAUGAACGUGCAGAGCUUCUACUUCAAAGUCUUCCUGAUUCGUAUGAUCAGCUCAUUAUCAACUUGACCAAUAAUAUCCUCUCAGACUAUUUAGUCUUCGAUGAUGUUGCAGCGCUAUCUUGGAAGAAGAAAAUAGGCGCAAAAACAAAGGAGACAGAAACAGUUCAAACCAAGCAGAGGCGUUAUUGGUGUCAAGAGGAAGAUCAACGGAACGUGGCUCAGUGGGAGUCAAAGGCAGGGGAGGUCCAAAUCAAGAAGUAAGAAGAUGGUGAAAUGCUACAACUGUGGCAGAAAAGGGCACUUCAAAAAGGAUUGUUGGUUUAAAAAGGGUAUAGAGAAUACUGCAGAGUCAUCAAACCUCAAGGAUGUGUUGCAAGCACCUCAGAAGAUGGAGAGGUUUAUAUAGUGAAGCAGCAACAAUCUCUACAGAUAGAGAAGAGCUCGCUGAGGUCUGGCUAAUGGAUUCAGGAGCAACAUGGCAUAUGACCCCUAGACGAGAUUGGUUCCAUACAUAUGAACCUAUCUCUGGAGGCACAGUGUUCAUGGGUGAUAAUCAUGCUGUAGAGAUUUCUGGCAUUGGCACCAUCAAAUUGAAGAUGUAUGAUGGCUUAAUUCGUACUAUUUCAGGAGUGCGACAUGUGAAAGACUUAAAGAAGAAUCUUUUGUCCGUAGGACAAUUUGAUAGUCUUGGCUGUAAGAUCCGAACAGACAAUGGAAUCAUGAAAAUUGUCAAAGGCGCGCUGGUGGUUUUAAAGGCAAGAAAGACAGUUGCAAACAUGUUUGUAUUAAUGGGAGAAACACAUCAGGGGCAGAAGCAUCAAUCGCAUCAGCCAGUCCUGCAGAAGAGAAGACGAUGAUGUGGCAUCAAAAACUAGGCCACAUGUCAGAGAAAGGUUUAAAGGUUCUCUCUGAUCAGAAGUUACUCCCUGGGCUUACAAAGGUUACUUUACCUUUUUGUGAGCACUGUGUUACAAGUAAACAACACAGGUUGAAGUUUGGCACGUCAACAACUAAGAGCAAAUGCAUCUUAGACCUGAUUCACUCUGAUGUUUGGCAAGCACCGGUUGUAUCCUUGGGAGGAGCAAGAUACUUUGUAUCAUUCAUAGAUGACUUCUCCAGGAGAUGUUGGGUGUAUCCGAUUAGAAGGAAGGCAGAUGUGUUCGCAGUUUUUAAAACCUUCAAAGCGCGGGUAGAACUUGAAUCUGAAAAGAAGAUCAAGUGUUUGAGGACUGACAAUGGAGGAGAAUAUACCAGUGAUGAAUUUGAUAACUUCUGUCAACAUGAAGGUAUCAAAAGGCAGUUCACAACGGCAUACACUCCACAACAAAAUGGAGUGGCAGAGCGGAUGAACAGAACUCUAUUGGAAAGAACAAGAGCAAUGUUGAAGGCUGCAGGUCUAGAAAAGUCAUUCUGGGCAGAAGCAGUCAAUACCGCCUGUUAUGUAAUAAAUCGAUCUCCGUCUACUGCAAUUGAGUUGAAGACACCGAUGGAGAUGUGGACUGGAAAGCCAGCUGAUUAUUCUCGAUUGCAUAUAUUUGGAAGUCCUGUGUACGUGAUGUACAAUACUCAAGAGGUCAGCAAGCUGGAUUCAAAAUCCAGAAAAUGUGUAUUCUUGGGAUAUGCUGAUGGAGUGAAGGGGUAUCGCUUGUGGGAUCCCACUGCCCACAAGGUAGUCAUCAGCAGAGAUGUCAUAUUUGCAGAAGAUAAAAUGCAAAUGGAAGAAAAUAAUAGCAUUUUAAAGGAGACUACAGAAGUCCAGAUGGAAAAUACUCAGAAUCAUACUUCUUCUGAAGCUGCACCAGAGCAUGAAGAACAAGAACAAAUAGAGUCUGAAACUCCUGAAGUUCGACGGUCAACUCGUGAAAGAAGACCACCGGCUUGGCACUCAGAAUAUGUUACUGAGAGCAACAUUGCAUACUGUCUUCUAACAGAGGAUGGAGAGCCAUCAACUUUCCAUGAGGCUAUCAAAAGCACAGAUGUAUCUAUGUGGAUGACAGCAAUGCAAGAGGAGAUUGAAGCUCUGCACAAGAAUAACACUUGGGAUCUUGUUCCGCUACCACAAGGAAGAAAGGCCAUUGGCAACAAAUGGGUUUACAAGAUAAAGCGUGAUGGCAAUGAUCAAGUGGAGCGGUAUCGUGCAAGAUUGGUGGUGAAAGGAUAUGCUCAGAAAGAAGGAAUAGACUUAAUGAGAUAUUUUCUCCGGUGGUACGACUUACUACAAUCAGAGUAGUCUUGGCGAUGUGUGCUAUAUUUGAUCUUCACUUAGAGCAGUUAGAUGUGAAAACUGCAUUUCUUCAUGGAGAACUUGAAGAAGAAAUUUAUAUGCUCCAACCAGAGGGUUUUGCUGAAACAGGCAAAGAGAACUUGGUUUGCAGGUUGAACAAAUCUCUAUACGGUCUCAAACAGGCGCCGAGGUGUUGGUACAAGAGAUUUGAUUCCUUCAUAAUUAGCCUUGGGUACAACAGACUCAGUUCAGACCAUUGUACGUAUUACAAGAGGUUUGAAGAAAAUGAUGUUUUCAUCAUUCUGUUGUUGUACGUGGAUGACAUGUUGGUAAUAGGCCCCAACAAAGAUCGAGUCCAAGAAUUGAAGGCACAGUUGGCUAGGGAGUUUGAUAUGAAGGACUUGGGACCAGCAAACAAGAUUCUAGGGAUGCAAAUUCACCGAGACAGAAGUAAGAGGAAGAUUUGGCUUUCUCAGAAGAAUUAUUUAAAGAAGAUCUUGCGACGCUUCAACAUGCAAGAUUGUAAGCCAAUUUCCACCCCACUUCCUGUUAACUUCAAAUUAUCCUCAAGUAUGUCUCCUAGCAAUGAAGCAGAGAGGAUGGAGAUGUCUCGAGUACCGUAUGCAUCAGCAGUGGGAAGUUUAAUGUUUGCCAUGAUAUGUACAAGACCAGACAUUGCACAAGCAGUGGGAGCAGCUAGUCGAUACAUGGCAAAUCCUGGUAGAGAGCAUUGGAAUACUAUAAGAGGAUCUUGAGAUACAUCAAGGGUACCUCAGAUGCCGCAUUAUGUUAUGGAGGAUCAGAAUUUACUAUCAGAGGUUAUGUUGACUCAGAUUUUGCUGGUGACCUUGAGAAAAGAAAAUCCACUACAGGCUAUGUGUUCAUAAUUGCAGGAGGAGCUGUGAGCUGGGUCUCUAAACUUCAGACUGUUGUAGCGUUAUCCACAACAGAAGCUGAGUAUAUGGCAGCUACACAGGCUUGUAAAGAAGCAAUAUGGCUGAAGAAACUUAUGGAGGAGCUCAAACAAGAGAAGAUUCUUUUGUAUUGUGAUAGUCAGAGUGCCUUGCAUAUUGCAAGGAAUCCAGCGUUUCAUUCAAGAACAAAACAUAUAGAUGUUCAGUAUCACUUUGUUCGCGAAGUGGUGGAAGAUGGAAGUGUGGAUUUUCAGAAGGUUCACACAAAGGAAAACCCAGCAGAUGCUUUAACCAAACCAGUCAACACUGAUAAGUAUAUAUGGUGCAGAUCCUCUUGUGGCCUAGCAGAAACGUAAGCAGCAUGAAGAUGGCAAGUAUUGAAAGGAUAGAAGAAUCACCAAUGAUCAAGUGUGAAGACUUGAUUAAAUCAUCAAAGUCUUCAAGUGGGAGAAUGUGAAGAUAGUUGGCCACUUGGCCAACUUGGCCACUUGGCCAACUUGGCCACUUGCUCUUUCAUGGAUGCUUGCCUAUAAAUAGGCAAGCAUCCAAGCAUUACAAUCACACAAAAGAAGAGAGAAAGAAGAGAGAGUGAAGAGGGAAAUCCCACUAAAUUGUGAGGUAUUUGUGAGAGAGUAAGUGAGGUGUUUUCUCCUAGUAAUAGAGAGAUUCUUAGUUGUUCUCCUAUUAUCUGAGAGAGGUUGUAAUUCCCACAUUACUAGUAAAAUCCUUCUAUACUUGCCCGUGGACGUAGCCUAAUUGGGUGAACCACGUAAAUUCUUGUGUGUCUCAUUUCUCAUUUAUCAUGUCCCUUACCUUUUGUCUUGUCGAGUUUGCAUGCCAGUAUCCUAACAAAAAGCUGAUAGCUUAACCGCCAUUUCUUGGGUCCAAUCAGAAAGUGAACAUUGAUAAGUAAUAAUGCAUCUUUACAAUUUAUGGUCAAGUCUUUGUUCAUGUAAUUAAUGUCAAAGACCAUCUCAACCUAAAAGCUUAAGCUGUUAGGUGAGGUUCCAAGAUAUGAUUUAUAUUAUUCUCUAACACACCCCCUCAAGUGAAAGCCCUUUGGGCUUGAAACUUGCACAGACCCACAUUACCUUGUGCUUAAUUUUUAUCAAAUAAAUAUGGGUGGUGAGAUUCGAACUCGUGACCGCUUGGUCAUCAAGGCUCUGAUACCAUGUCAAAGAACCAUCUCAACCCAAAAACUUAAGCUGUUAGAUGAGGUCCCAAGAUAUGAUUUAUAUUAUUCUCUAACAAUUCAGCACUAAAACCAUUAAUUAGCAAUGUAAUAAUAAUUUUAUUUUAAUCAUAUAACAAUACAAUACGGAACAGUUGAUUGAUUUUACUUACAAUAUAACACAACAAAUCAUAGUAUUGUCGCACGUGUGCGGCGGCGCGGCGAUCGUCCACCCUCAAGGAAAAAAAAAUCGGAAUAUUUAUUCCCGACAAAAAAAGGAGAGACAAGGAAUUCUUGUCUCUAUAAGUGAAAAUAUGGACUGGGAGUCGCCACCUAGUAUUCUGGUUACUAGGAACCUUAACUGGUAUUUAGAGAUCGGGUACGGAGACUAGUUGCGUAAAGGGAAGGUAUUAGCACCCCAACUACGCCCUACCUAAGGUAGGCUGCAUUGUUUUAAUGUCUGAUAACAUCUAAGGUCGUGUUUUAUUGUUCGGAAUACGCAUUACAUGUAAUGUCAUAUCCCAAGUUCUAUAAAAAAAAUAUAUAUAAAAAUUAAAUAAAUAUCCGGAAUAUGUAUUACGUAUAAUGUCAUACCCCGGAUAUUAAAAGAUAAACAAAAUAAAAUUUUUGUUGUUUUUUUGAAAUUUUGGCCAAUAUUCUCUUGACUUUAAUAAACUGGUUAUUAAAGCCAAAAUGCAUGCUAAAACAUUGAUUUUUUUUUUGUAUGAAAAAUACAAAAUGAUUUUUUUUUUGAGACAUUUGGCCGUAUGCACAAAAAAACAUUUUUUUUUUUAUUUGUUUUUGUAUUCUUGAACGUCGAAAACCGGGUAUUUCAGUACCGGAUUUGUAUUUUACGACAUAGGAAUAUUGUCCCAUAUUACAUAAAAAGUACGGGGAAAAAUUAUAAAUAAAACAAGUAUUUUUUAUUUUUUCCUUUUUUAUGGGCCGGAUGAACAGUACCGUAUGAACAGUAAAAUUAAAAAUGAUAGAAGAAAAUGUGUCUUUUUUAAAAAAAUAAAAAUAAAAAUAAUAACAAACAAAAUAAUAAUAAUAAUAAUAUAAAUAAUAAUAAUAAAUAAAUAAAUAAAAACAUGGGCUGGGCCAACCAAGCCCGUUUACAGGGGCUGGGCUGAACGGCCCAGCCCAGGCCCAAAUGGGCUGGUUACUGUGCAUCAGCACAGUAACCAGCCCACGCUGCAUUUUGCAGCAGAACGUGAAUUAUUCACGUUCUGCAUGCAAGUGCAGGCAGGGACAGCGAGGGCGAGAAGAAAAAAAAAAAAGUGAUGGCGAGGGAGCAGGAGGUUACCUGACGCGGUGGAGCUUCCAACUGGAGCGGUGGCCGGCGGUGCUGCUGGUGAUCGAAGGGUGGCAGAGGCGACGAUUUCUUCUCUCUUCUCCCCUGCUUCUUUCUUUCUUCUUCUGUUUCUGUUUUUUUUUGCUUUUCUUUUCUUUUCCUCUCUUCUUUCUCUUCUCUUCUCUUCUCUUCUCUUCUCUCUUCCCUCUCCCUUCUCUUUUUUUUUUUUCUUUCGGUGCCCCUCCCCUGUUUUUAUAGGCAAAAACAGGGGGGUGGUGACUGUUGGGGCGGCCACUGUUGGCCGCCCCUCCACUAUCCAAGUGGCCGAAAAAGUAUGCAAGUGGCUAUUGUGGGCGUCUUUUUGAAGCCGUCGGUGAAAGAAGUUCGGCGAAAAGUGGAGAAGACAAAAAAAUUCUUCUCCCCUGUUCUCUGCGUGCGCAGGGAAGAAGACAAUGGUGCUGUUUCAAAACGGCACCGUUUUUUUUUUUUUUUUUUUUUUGCAAUAGUACAUGAAACGGCGCCGUUUUGGUCAAAACGCGCCGUUUCAUUUAAAAGGAAAAGGCGCCAAAACUUUUCAGAUUCAAAUUUCAGCCCUCAAUUUGCGCGCGUUUUGCAUUUUAGUCCUUGGUCUCGGAUUGCUUCAAUUAAGUCCCUAAUUGGCCAUUAAACUUCAAUAUUUAUGCAAUUAAGCCCCUGAUUUUACCAAAUUAACUUCCAAAAAUUAUAAUUUGACCCAGAAAAUUAAUUUCUCCUAAUUAAAGCCCAAAUUAACUCCAAAAUCAAUUUUUCUUGCAAUUAAAAUCUUCAUAAAUGCAAUUAAACCUUUAAUAAAAUUUAAUUGAGUCCAUAAACUUCUGAUUUUGCAUUUUUCUUCCACAAAUUGAAUUUUCUUUAUCAUCGGGGCUCUCAUCGGUCAAUGAUAUACUGUCAAAAAUUAAUUUUUGAUUUUUGAACAUCCUCAAAUCAAUUUUUAAGCAUUUUUAGGGCGCUUUGGCAUUUUUUCACUGUUCUAUUUUUUUGAUAAUAUAUUUUUUUGAAUUUUUUUGUAUUUUAUUAUUUUUUAUGUGGGGACCCAGAAAUGGGUUACAACAGUAUAGUGUAGCAAAAACGAGCCCCUGUUUAAAGUGCAGAAGGAUUCUUGUAGUUUCUUGCGUUUUCUCUCUGUUUCUGUUUUUUAGACUAACAUGCGUCAAUUCUUGUACAGACAGAGAAAGGAAAUAAGCAUACCUUGUUCUGAAGAAAGUGGAGCCGAUGGUGGCAGCGGCUUACUCUGUUGUUUCCUUCGUUCUGGAAAAGAAAGAGCAGAUGGUGGCUCCACUCCUCUGUUGGUGUUGAGUUUUCUGCUGGUCCUCUGUUCCUCUGUUGGUUUCGCCUCCUCCCUGUUUUCUCUCUUAUCCUGCUCACUCCCUCUGCCUCUCUCUUCUUUACACUCUAUUCUCUCUGUUCUUUUUUCUGCUGUCCUCCUCCUGUUUUCUCUUCUUCUCCCCUCUCGUUCCCCCAUUUUCUUUCUGCCCUGCUCUCCCUUCUUUGUUCUUCUUUUCUCUCUUUUUUUUUCUGCUGUCUCGUUCUCCUCCCCCCCCCUUUUCCCUCAGGUCCUUCUCCCUUUUAUAGCCAAAUCUAUGGCAUUUGUUACUGAAACGUUUCCUGUUUGCUGAAUUGGUGGAGAAGACACAAGAGAAAGCAAUGUGUGAAUGCUACAUGAUGCAUGCAAGCUCACCAAGGAAUUACAAUCUCUGGAGAAUAAUUGGACCCACGAAGAAAAGUGGAGGAUGAUAAGUCAAAUAUGGGUGGAGAUGUUGACUUAUGCAGCAUCUAAUUGUGGAUGGAAAGAGCAUGCUCAAGCACUUACACGUGGCGGGGAGCUCCUCACUCGUGUGUGCCUUCUCAUGGCCCAUUUGGGUUUAAGCGAGCAGUGGCUAACAACUGCAAGCACCAGUUCCAGGGAAGCUCAUGAUGACAUGAUGCAUAGUUUCAAGUCUUGCUCUUUUUCAGUUGGUUGCUCUUUUUCUAUGUUUGAAAUAUUGUCUUUAUUUCAUUUCAUCAUUAGUAUUGUAGUUUGGUGUGGGAUUUUCUUGUGUGAAAUUUUGUAAUUUUUUUUUAAUAAAACUACUGUCCUUGUCUACAUCAGGCUUAACACUCACUUAAAAAAAAAAAAGUUAUCUUAAUAAUGAAAAGGAAACGUUUAAAAUUACUGAAACGUUUCAGUAACAGGAAUAAAAUUAAAUUAUGUUAUCUUUUUGUUGUUUCCUUAUUAAAAUUAAUUAUUUUAAAAAAAAAUCAAAUGCCAAAUGACACUAUAAAUCUUUAAAAAACAUUAUUGUUAUAUAUAUUGAACUAUAAUAAUUUUUUAAAAUUAAAAUUUUCUUAAUUGGAUAUUUCCACAAAAUUUCAAUAAUGAAAAGGUGACAUUAACUAAUUGAAUAUGAUCUUAAGUUCACAAAUAAAUAAACACAAUAUAUCAUGUAUAAAAUCUUGAAUAAAAUAACAAAACAAAAAAACAUAAAGGUACACGCAAAAAGAAGGAUGACAUAUUUUAUUGUAUUUAUAAUUUAAAUAAAAAAAGCACAGAAAAGAAAUUCAACAAAUUAAAUUAUUAAAAAAUUUAUAAAUAAUAAUAUGAAAGAAAUAAGAGGAGAUGGGCCUAGACUUGAGCACAAAUGCGUCCAGCCUCUGUCUAGCAAGGUGAAUUUGGGCUAGCGUCCAAGUUUAUUUAACUUUUUUAACAAAAAAAGAAAAAACCAAAUUCAUACAUGAACUAUGGAUAAUUCAACGUCCACACAUCAUCUCCGUUCAUUUUCUUGCCGGAAUCUGGGAGUAUUUUGACAAGCCACGAGGCUUAACAUAAAAACUUGCAAAAGUUGAACGUAGAAAAGAUCUACUAAUCAAUCUGUCUCUUUAAAAUUUUUACAUAAACCAAUCUUUACAUAGUAGAAAACUCAAAAUCCUAAAUUAAAUUAAAAAUUAAUUAAUUAAUUAAUUAAAUAUUAAAUUAAACUUAAAAUCUAAAAUAAAACAUUAAAUAAUAAAAUUAGCUUAAAUAAUAUUUUCGAGUUUAUUUGUUAUAUAUAACCGAGAUUAUAAAAGUUUUUGAUCAAAUUUGUGUGAUCAUAUCAAAUGUUAUGGGUUUUUUUUUUUUUACCAAAUUAGUUGUAUAACAUAAAUAGAUUUUUUCUUGAGCUUCACUAUCUCCUGCUAAUUUAUAAAUAAUUUUAUCGAACUUUCUACAAAAAUCUGAUUUAGAAUAUCUAUAAUUGACUGUAAAAAUCUAUCCUCUACAUCACUAUUUUUUUUUAUUUUAAAAAUAUUUUUAAAAAAAAUUAAACAAAAUUUAUUUUAUUUUAUUUUAUUUUAAUUUAAUAAAUUUUUAAUAUUUUAACGUUUGAAAAAAAUAUUAUUUUCACUUGAAUAAUCAUAAACUCUUCUUUACUGCUUAUUGAAUUUUUAAAGGUGGCGAUGUCUGUACGACAAAUACUUCUUAUAAUUAAAAAUUUAUAAAUUUAUUUCACCAAACUAAUUUUAUUGUGCAUACAUGUUUUUUUAAAAAGAUUUUUUAGAAAUAUAAUUGUGAUUGUUUUUAAAAAUAUUUUUUAUUCUAAAAUGUAUUAAAAUGAUAUCUCAAAUUGAAAUUAAUAACAUAAAAACAAACACAUACACAGGCUCACUGAAUGUUUGACCUCAGUUUACUUAUUAUAUAUGUACAAAGGAUUUUGUUCCAGAACGGGAAGUGUUGCCAUGAAAAUCACGAGCUAAGUAGAUGCCUGCAGAAUAAAGUUUUACCUUGCGACAAAGGGAAAGUAAUUUAUUCUGGAAGAACAACAUUUCCUCUCUUUUGUAACUUGUAAGUAAUCAUCGUUCUACAGGAAUUCAUAACAAAGUUCUGUACUUGUGGUAUUAAUUCUUUCGAGCAGUGAUGGCAAAGCGAAAUAUUUGUGGAGCCAGCACCUCUAAAACAACUCGUGAAAAUUAUAGGAUUUUACGUUUCGAUUCUAAAACUUCACUUCUCUUGCGUAUGAAUCACUGAAUGAUGAGAGAAGAGAGAUUAAGUCACUAGAGAAGGGAGAGAAGGGAAAAGGAUUUUGGCCGGAUACACUUCUAAAACGAACUCAAGUUGACGGAAUAUUCUACAUACUUAAACCAGUUGACCGUUUAUCAAUCGGUCGAUCGUUUUAAUUAUUCCACCAGGUUGCUCUAUCUCUACCAGUUAACUUGUUCCUAGCUGGUCGAUCAAUUCAACUAAUUUUUAGAAAUCAAUUUACUUUCAACAUUCUUGCCAUCCAUAACAAGAGUUUGGGAUGUAAUUAAUGUAAUUAGAGCAGCUCUAAGCACAAAUCAACUUCAAUGUUAUUAAUGCUUUUAAUUUACUGCUUGUGUUUUGUUAUCUGAAGUAACCAAAACCACCACGUCUGCAAGAAGCUGAAAAUGGUCAAUUUGUUAAGAUCCAUUGUUUUCAGUAAUAAAAUGAUCUUGUUUUUCAAAUAAUUUGUGACUGUUUCUGUGUUUAGUACGUACUAGCUAGUACUCUGUUCGUUGUUGCAUUAGUUAGAUUUUGUCUCUGGUUUUUUUGGAAUCUUUACUAAAGCUGAUUUCAUUACUGGAAAAAUUAAAUUAGAUUGCACCUUUUGUUGAAGGCGAACAAAAGGACAUAUGAUGGAUAUCACCAACUUGUCCAAACGUGCUCAAGAAUUGUGGAAUGAAUGGGAGUUUCGCUCACUGAUUUUGUUAAGUCUCUUUCUCCAAAUCUUGCUCGUCAUCAUUGGAAAUCGGCGGAAGUACAGCAGUGGAAUCGGGCUCGAAUGGUUUGUCUGGAUAGCAUACUUGUCUGCGGAUUGGGUGGCAACUUUAGCAUUGGUUAUUGCUUCCCGUAGCCAAGGAGGUUUGGAAACAAAUCCCACCAAUCCGACUCCAAACGUCAUUCCAUCAUUUUGGGCACCAAUAGUCCUUGUACACCUUGGUGGCCCUGACACUAUUACUGCUUAUGCACUUGAAGACAACGAAUUGUGGUUAAGGCACAUUCUCCAGCUAGCAAUUCAAACUGCUGCAGCUUCUUAUUUCUUGUUCAAAUCAUGGGGUAAGGAUCCACUCAUAUAUAUAGCCAUUCCCGUUUUUGUUGCUGGAAUUACCAAGUAUGGGGAAAGGAUUUUGGCUCUUUGGCAAGCUAGCUCCAAGAAGUUUAGGGCCUCCGAAAUUGGAAGAAAUUUCAAUAGCGAAUUGAGAAAGAAAUUUCUAUCUGUUGGCUUAUUUGACUUGUCUAUUGGAGACGUGAAAGAAGGUUUAGAAUUUGACCUCAUAAUACCUGAGGCUGUGUAUCUCCAUGAAGCACGUUUUUUGUUUCAAAUGUUCAAGAUACUUUUCGCAGAUCUCGGCCUUGCCCAUGGUACCUAUGGUAGCUGUAUUAGGGGUGAGUAAAAAAACCGAAAAACCGAUUAAACCGAGAAAAUCGAAAAAAAAAUAACCAAAAAAACCGAAUCUAAAACAAAAACCGAUCAAACCGAUUAGAAAAAUUAAAAAACAAGCCGGUUCGAUUUUAAAAAGCUGAAACCGAAUAAACCAAACCGAACCGAACCGGUUCAAGUAAAACAAUUAAUGGUACUAUAAAUACCUACUUUUCAGCUUUCCCCUUCUCCUUUCUAAACCCUAGCCGCCACCCAUGUUUUACAAUCUUUACCUCUCAACUCAGCCCCCACCCCCAUCUUCACUCUCAACCUUUAUUGCCCAUGUUUCUUAAUCUUUAUCUCUCAGCAGAGCCCCCCCCCUCCCAUCUUCAUCUCUCAUCCCUCAACCUUUCUCACAACCCCGCAUCACAGCCCCCCAUCUUCAUCUCUUAUCUCUCAACCUUUCUCACGACCCCCCCUCAACAUCCUCAUCUCUCAUCUCUCUCAACCUUUCUUUAAGGCUUCAAGCAUAAUUUUUUUUAUCCUUUUCUUUAAGCAUAAUUGACUAAGCUCAUGGAUUAACAACCAAAUAGCAGCUCUGGAGCCUUCCUCUCUUCAAUCUUUAUCUCUUAAUUUUUGUCCUUGUUUAUUUAUUUAUUUAUUUAUUUUCUGUAGAUCUGUUAUGUAUUCAUUUUCUAUAUUUAUUUACAAGAAUGUUGAUUUGCCAUUCAUGUUGCGAUUAUUGUAAUGGAUGUUGUGAUAAAUAUUUUUUUCAAAUUUUCGUUUGAAUCUUGUUCUUUUUGGCUUCCUGAUUCAGGAAACCUGCUUGAUAUGCUUGACCAAGAUGAAAUCAGUUUUUUCUGGUUUUUCCUUUCAAUUAACCGAACCGAACCGAAAAUAAUCGGUUUGAACCGGUUUCGGUUUUGAUUUAAAAAUAAAUAAAUAAAUCGAUUUGGUUAGUUUUUUGGGUGAAAACCGGACCGAACCGGAAAUGAUCACCACAGCUGCUGUAUGGUCAGCUAUCAUAUCCUAAGUAGCAAGAAAGCCACAGAAGCCUUCAAAUUGAUAGAAGUUGAGUCGGGAUUUAUGUACGAUGUGCUUUUUACAAAGGUGAGAAGGCUCUGUUUACGGCGUACUAUUCUUCGCUCCAUCAGUUUCCUAUCUUCUACUUCUGCAUUGGUCACCUUCUCGUUAAUGAUCGCGAACAAGCAUGCCUAUCCAGAAACAGAGGUAAUUAUAUCAUACAUCUUGCUGGGUGGUGGAGUUGUUCCUGAGAUAUAUGAAGUCAUCAUGCUGCUCUUAUCUGAAUGGGCCAUGCUUCGGCUUAGCAUGCUAAGCAGGCCUUGGGCUGAUUCUGUCUAUCGAGCUGUCUAUUCUGACAGCAACAAAAGGUGGGAAAGAUAUAUGGCACAACUCGACUUUACAGAUGCUCGAAUAACCAAGAACCGAGGUUUGCGGGCGAUGGUCAUAAACUCGUUGGCAUGUAAACCAACACCCAAAGCUUGUUUUAUGAAGUUGCUAGGCAAGGAUAAAAUUCAAAGUUGGGAGGUUAUUAGUGACGAAUUAAAAGAAAAAAUUUGGGAAUACCUCUUAGAUAAACGUUUGAGAUAUGGUCAUCUAAUGCCUCAUCCUGAUCCUGGCAUGAAUGAUAUGACGGAGAUAUUGGCUGAAAGAGGUGAUCAGGUGCUGAAAAGCAUGGGAUGCUCGGAAGAAUUAUUUCAUGGGAGCCUCCUUUUAUGGCACAUUGCCACUGAUAUUUGCUACCAUGAUGAUAUUCGUAAUAACAAAGUUGAUGCAAAUAAUCAACUUUGCAAAAGGAGCAGAUCCUUAUCUAAUUACUUGUUGUAUCUUCUAAUUGAACGUCCAAAUAUGCUGCCUAAAGGGAUUAGUGAAGAACCAAUAAAGCAAACCUGCAUUCAACUCACCGAAUUCUCGUGGUGCUGGAGAUCGAAAAUAAAAACACCUACUCAUUGGGGUUCUGAAGAGUUUAUGAAUGAAAUCAAAAAAGCAGUAGGCGAUGUGUCAAUGCUACAAGCUCGCCAAGGAAUUACAAUCUCUGGAGACGCCAGAAAAGAAGUGGACCAACGAAAAAAAGUGGAGGAUGAUAAGUCAAAUAUGGGUGGAGAUGUUGACUUAUGCAGCAUCUAAGUGUGGAUGGAAAGAGCAUGCUCAAGCACUUACACGUGGUGCGGAGCUCCUCACUCGUGUGUGCCUUCUCAUGGCGUAUCUGGGCUUAAGCGAGCAGUGUCUAACAAGUGCAAGCACCAGUCCCUCUGGAAAGCUGAAGAAUAUUAUCCUAAAGAUCCAUAGUUUCAAGUCUUGCUGCUAUAAAUAAUUUUUCAGUUGCUUGCUCUUUUCUAUGUUUGAAAUAUUGUUUGAUCCAGUUUGAGAGUCUUCUUUACACGGAGACUAGUUUUAGGAGUCCUUAUUUCAUUUCAUCAUUAGUAUAUAUUAUAUUUUGGUGUGGGAUUUGCUUGUGUAAAAUUUUGUAAUUUUUUUUUAAAUAAAAAUGUUGCCCUGUGGCCUACAUCAGGCUUAGCACUCACUAACAAAAAAACAAAGAAAGAAAGAAAAAAAAAAGAGUAAUCUUAAGGAAGAUGUGAAAAAUUGAUGUAUGUCGGUAAUUACCUAAUGAAAGUUUUUGCAACACUCCCUGAUUUGGGUAACUAUAAAUCUAUCUAUCUAUGGUGGUAAUUAUAACCAUUUGAUUUUUAUAUAAAAUUUAGCAUAUAAUGAUCCAACAAUUAAAUUAAAAAUUAUCAAGCUAAUUUUAGGCUAUUCUAGUCUACUUAGACUUUCUACUAUUCCAUAGUUUACUAUUCAAAAUUAUUAGUUUUUUCAAACUUGCCUAAAUCAUUAUUAAAUAGAAAUCUUCUAUUAAAAUCAUUGUUUGAGGUUUUAAAUUAUAUAUAUUGAACUAAAAUGAUUUUUUAAAAUUAUAAUUUUUUUAAUUGGAUAUUUCCACAAAAGUUUCUUAAUUGAAAAAAAAAGGAUUAAAAUUUUCAUUGUAAGAUUUAUUUACAAUUUACAUAUCAAAGAUAAUCAAUUCAUAUUGGGAUAAGAUAUAUUUUUUAAAAAAUAUAUUGUUUGAUAGCUAAAUUUAUCUCUAUAAUGUUUCUCUAAUUUGUCCUUGCAUCUUUAAUUUGAUCAAUCUUAUCUUUAAACACAUUCUAUGAUUCUGAAUUUAUCAUUCGGCAAAAGAUAUUUAGACAAAUCCACUAAAAUUAGUCGUGAAAUUGAUAAUAAAUAUAAUUUCGACAUGUUGAUCUCUUAUAAAUACAAAAUUAACAUAUUUAAAGAAUAAAAUAAAUCUUUAAUUUUAAGAUAAAUCAUCAAAGAAUAGCAAAAAUAAAAACAUAAAUAUAGAAAAAUAGAUACUCAAAUACCAAAAUAAUUGCUAGAAAGCAUAAAUGAUCGCUAGAAAGCAUAAUUAUGAUGUAGAUGGAAACAACAAAGCAUUAACAACAAGUAUAAGCAAAAUAAAAUUCUACUAAAUAGGGUUAAUAUACAAAAACUCUCAAUUCAAAAUCUUAUUACUUAAUAUUUUCUUUCUAGUAUUUUCCUGAAAUUCAAGCUAACCAACUUUGUUUUGUCCCUUUCUAUACCUAAGCUCUUCACUGGCUUCGCCGGAUCUUGCUAAGACAAACCUUGGAUGUUGAUGGAGAAAAUCCUGCUAGAAACAGGAAGUUGGCAGAGGCAGAAUCGGCAUCUGUCUUGCCUGCUCGAAAGCCUGCCUUGGCUAGGCUGCUUUAGGUUUAGAAUAAUGGGCUCUGGGCCCUGUGGCAGUGAGAGUGGGGAUAAAUUUAAUUAUUUUACACAAUUAUUCUGGUAAUGCCUUUUUCUUCUUUACUUUGUAUAUAAAAAUAUGCAAUGAUGGAGAUGGAGAAUUGGGAUCAGCCGAAUUCUAAAACUACGGAACCAACUCCUUUCACAACUGAGAAAGAAGAUAUAGAGCAAGAACCCUAACAGUUUGGAAGAUAAGGUUUUAGUACCUGCAACACUGAAAUAACACUGAAAUAACAUAGCACUGACUGAAAUAAUUAAUCAUUUUUUCUUAGCCAAGUCCUUUAUAUAUAUAUAUAUAUAUUGGCUUCUUUUGAUCAAUAAAAUCUAUACAUUUUCGUAAAAUCUAAUGAUCAUUUCCUUAUUCAAUUCACAAAAUUACCAGCAGCUAUAACAGCACAAAUAAAUCAUAGCAACAAAGCAAACACACAUAUUUUCUCAUGGAGUCUCUCACACACACAUCAAUGUUUAUUUUCUCAUGGAGUCUCUCACACACACAUCAAUGUUCUCUUAACACCACCACAUAAUUAGACCCAAGUAAUUACAAAAUAAAAAAGAGGCAGAAGGUUUUCAUCACCAAACUUAACAUUACCAAUUGGCUAAGAAAUUGGCUCUAUUUCCAACACCCUGGAACACGCACCACACAGCCCUCCAAUACUUGCUGAUGGAGUAUCAUCGCCUUCGGAAAUCUCAUCGAUUCUUUUCUCACCUUCAAGUACACUAAUGACUUCGGAUAUGUUAGGCCUGAGAGUAGGAGACAGAUUAACACACUUCAUUGCUAACAGCAAAACAGUGAGAGCCUGCUUCCUAUUGUAACUGGAUGCUAAUUUCUUGUCCACCAAGUCAAGGAUUCUUCCCUUGUCAUGCAAAACACCAGCCUGCAAUUACAAAGCAAGAUUGGCUUAGCUCCGAGUAUUAAGGAAAUAAUCCUGACUAUUUUCUAUUCAAUAAAACACAAAUCAAGGAAUUAAAUAAUCCUAGAUAAUCAAGAAAUUAUUUCAAUCAUCCAAUUAAAGGAUACAAUCAACUAUAUUUUCUAUAAUUUAUUUUAUUUUAUUUACUUAUGUGUCUUGUUAUAUAAUUAUAUAAACUUCAUAUAGGUUGAAUAUAACACAUAUAUCAAAUUAUUGAAUAAUAAUAUCUUUUUUUGCUCGCUCUUAAUUUCUUCUUAGUAUUAGAGUGAUCUUUAAAUAUUAGCUUUUGUAUUUUCAUGAGUUGAAUGUAACACAUAUAUUAAGUUAUUUGAUGUUGACAGAACAUGUUUGGUUUGAUAAUAACUAAAAAAAAAAAAACAAAGAGUUUAUCCUGUAAGACCCACUUACAUUAUCCAGAAGAAACUCAGCUUCUUGGUUUGGUGUGUAAUCUGCACUAACUUUCCCACUAACUAUUUCGAGUAGGACAAUUCCGAAACUGUAAACAUCAGCUUUAACAGUUAUUGCUUUUCCCAUUGAAUACUCAGGUGCCAUGUAAACUCUGUGUAAUGAGAGAUUAAUUAUUGGUUAAUUAGAUCUUAAUUAAAAGAAUGGAAGUAGUUGUCAAUCAAUGAUCAUAAUACUUACCGCGACCCUUUUGCUUUGAUGGCCAUAAAUGGAUCUUCUUCAUCACAAAGCGUUGCCAAUCCAAAGUCAGACAACUUGGCCGUAAGAGAGUUAUCAAGCAAAAUAUUACUAGGUUUUAUGUUUCCAUGAACAAUCUUGAACCUUUUCUUUUCAUGUAAAUACUUCAAACCUCUCGCUAUUCCCAGACAGAUACCAAAUCUAGCUUUCCAAUCAAGUUUUGUCGUGGAAUUUGGUUCUACAAAUCAAGGUUAUUGAUAUUAAGUUAUUGAUAUUUGCAAGUACACUAUCCUUGUACUAACAGAAGAUUUAAAUAUACAAUUAAAUGAGUUUCACAAGGCAAUGCAUUAGGUGAAAGAGCAGGAUGAAAAUCGGGUGAUGGCAGUAUUACCGAACAACGCAUGGUGAAGGGAGCCUUUAUGCAUAUAGUCAUAUACUAGCAGAUGCAGGUCUUUAAUAGAAUAGCCAUCCAACAAUUGAACAAGAUUCUCAUGAUGCAAAGAUUUCAGGUUGAAGAUUUCCCUUUGUAAUUCAUCUUUUCCUUGUUGCUUUGAAUGAGGAGAAAUCUUCUUCACUGCUAAUUUUAUCUCGUUCGGCAAUUCAGCCUGUAUACACGUGAAAUCAAUUUACCAGAACUUUGAGAGAAAAAAGUGCAUGUUGAAGAACAAAUGUUUCAGAAAAGAAAAUCUGACCUUGUAUACUAUUCCAAAGCGUCCCCUGCCAAUCUCCAUUUUGGGGCUGAAUUUUCGAGUAGCAUCGAUUAUUUGUUUGAGGGUGAAAGAUUUUCCUUGGACCUCAAUGGUUAUUUCUAUUUGAAGAAAACAUCAAAGUAAGAAUUCUUAAGGUAGUGUAUGGUGCAUAAUGAUUUUAGAUUAGCAUGGAGAGGUACCAUCCAACUCGCUUUUCCGCAGCCAGCCCAUUUUCCACAUGAAAGCCAACAGAAGUAGAGGAGCAAAUACUGAACCUGCAGUAAUCCCUGUAAUUUGUGAAGGAGAUAGUCCCUUGCCACCAACUUUGAAGUCUGGAUACACAUAGUGGAAGACACCACGAAUUUUUUUAACCAGAUGAAGUGUAACAGAAAUCUUUGCUCAACAAAAAUAAAAGAAAUGCAACUCUUUACUUGCAGUUACGGAAAUGCCUGCCACAAGGGGUCCAUUCAGAGACAGGGCAGCGGUUGUAUAGGAAAAACCUGGCACCUGAAAAGAUCCUUUUCCAGCCCAGAAAAAAUGGAUAUUCAAUAGAUGAUCAUCUCCUACAUAUGCUGUGAAACUUGCAGUCCAUGUCUUAUUGGUGCCGUUGGCCAUUUCUUUUACGUUGAAGUCUUUUAGUUUCUCUUCCCCUGUAUCAAAAAUGGAUGUUGAAUGGUGGAAAUUGAAAGAAGCUGCAGAAAAUAUAGCGGUUACCUGUAUAUAUACAUCAAAAACACGUUUCCCUAAAUUCGAGUAAUCUUUAUCACUUUGGUAAACAGUUUCAGCGAAGUAAAGUUUCACAGUGUAAUUUCCUUUAAAUAAACAGAAGCCGUAAUAUGUCAGAGAAAGAGGGCAGAGGCGAGUUGAGUUGUAAAGAAGUGUCCCAGCAGAAUCACAAACUGCACAAUCCAUGUUUUUUAUGUAAUCACUGGAAUCAUA
rnacentral:lncRNA from 1 species